CUGGAAUGCAAUGGCAUGAACACAGCUCACUGCAGCCACAACUUCCCGUGAUCAAUCAAGUGAUUCUCCUACCUCAGCCUCCCGAGCAGCUGGGACUACAGCUUCUUCAGAUUCUACAGAGACCAUGACUGUGGGCAAGUCAAAAAAUCUCAGUGUUUCUGUCUCUGAUCUCAUCCAAGACACCACAUUACAUUUAGUCAUGAUGUCUCCUUACGGCUCUCUACACUGUGACAGUUUCUCAGAAUUUCCUUGUUUUUGAUGACUUUGAGAGUUUUGAAAAGCAGCAGUCAUGUAUUUUGUAGAAUGUCCUUCAAUUUGUGAUUUUCUGAUGUUAAACAAGUGUUAUGGGUUUCUGGGAGGAAGACUACAGAGUCUUCUGCAUUGAUGAUUCAGCUGCUAGAAACUUUUGAGUGGAGAUUUUUGUGUGAAGAUAAAUUUUCAGUUCAUUUGGGUAAAUACCAAGGAACACAACUGCUUGAUGAUAUGUCUCAGGUAUGUCUUUAUCAGCAGCAUGAAAAUGGACUAAUACAGUAAAUUGGUACCAGUAGAAUGGGGUGCUGCUGUAGACACCCGAAAAUGUGGAAGCAACUUUGGAACUGGAUAACAGACAGAGGUUGGAAGAGUUUGGAGGGCUCAGAAGAAGACAGGAAAAUGUGGGAAAGUUUGGAACUCCCUAGAGACUUUUUGCAUGGCUUUGACCAAAAUGCUGAGAGCGAUACGGACAAUACAGUCUAGGCUGAGGUAGUCUCAGAUGGAAAUGAAGGGCUCGUUGGGAACUGGAGCAAAGGUGACUCUUGUUUUAGCAAAAAGAGUGGUGACAUUUUGCCUCUGCCUUAGAGAUUCGUGGAACUUGAACUUGAGAGAGAUUUAGGGUAUCUGGCAGAAGAAAUUUCUAAGCAACGAAGCAUUCAAGAGGUGACUUGGGUGCUGUUAAAGGCAUUCAGUUUUAUAAGGGAAGCAGAGCAUAAAAGAUUGGAAAAUUUACCACCUGACAAUGCAAUAGAAAAGAAAAUCCCAUUUUCUGAAAUGAAAUUCAAGCUGGCUGCAGAAAUGUGGAUAAGUAAUGAGAAGCCAAAUAUUAAUCACCAAGACAAUGGGGAAAAUGUCUACAGAGCAUGUCAGAGGUCUUCAUGGCAGCCCCUCGCAUCACAAGCCUGGAGGCCUAGGAGGUGAAUGUGGUUUUGUGGGCUGGGCCCAGGGUCCCGGUGUUGUGUGCAGUCUAGGUAUUUUGUGCCCUGCAUCCCAGCCACUCCAGCCGUGACUAAAAGGGAUGAAGGUACAGCUCAAGCUAUGGCUUCAGAGGGUGGAAGCCCCAAGCCUUGGCAGCUUCCAUGUGGUAUUGAGCCUGUGAGUGCACAGAUGUCAAGAACUGAGGUAUGAGAACCUCCCCCUAGAUUUUAGAGGAUGUAUGGUAACGCCUGGAUGCCCAGCCAGAAGUUUGCUGCAGGGGCAGGGCCAUCAUGGAGAAGCUCUGCUAGGGCAAUGCAGAAGGGAAAUGUGGGGUGGGAGCCCCCACACAGAGUCCCUACUGGGGCACUGCCUAGUGGAGCCUUGAGAAGAGGACCACCAUCCUCCAGACCCCAGAAUGGUAGAUCCACUGACAGCUUGCACCAUGUGCCAGGAAAAGCCAUAGACACUCACUGCCAACCCAUGAAAGCAGCCAGGAGGGAGGCUAUACCCUGAAAAGCCACAGGGGUGGAGCUGUCCAAGACCAUGGGAACCCACCUCUUGCAUCAGUGUGACCCGGAUGCAAGAUACGGAGUGAAAAGAGAUCAUUUUUGAGUUUUAAAAUUUGACUGCCCUGCUGGAUUUUGGACUUGCAUGGGGCCUGUAGCCCCUUUGUUUUGGCCAAUUUCUCCCAUUUGGAUCAACUGUAUUUACCCAAUGCCUGUACCCCCAUUGUAUCUAGGAAGUAACUAACUUGCUUUUGAUUUUACAGGCUCAUAGGCAGAAGGGACUUGCCUUGUCUCAGAUGAGACAUUGGACUGUGGACUUUUGAGUUAAUGCUGAAAUGACUUAAGACUUGUGGGGAUUGUUGGGAAGGCAUAAUUGGUUUUGAAAUGUGAGGACAUGAGAUUUAGAAGAGACCAGGGGUGGAAUGAUAUAGUUUGGCUGUGUCUCCACCCAAAUCUCAUCUUGAAUUGUAACUCCCACAAUUCCAUGUCAUGAGAGGAACCCAGUGGGAGGUGAUUGACUUAUGGGAGCAGUUCUUUCCUGUGCUGUUCUUGUAAUAGUGAAUGCGUCUCAAGAGAUCUGAUGGUUUUAAAAAUGGGAGUUUCCCUGAACAACCUCUCUUGUUUGCGUGCUGCCAUCCAUGUGAGAUAUGACUUGCUCAUCCUUGCCUUCCACCAUGAUUGUGAGGCCUCCCCAGCCAUGUGAAAUGUAAGUCCAUUAAACCUCUUUUUCUUCCCAGUCUUGGGUAUGUCUUUAUCAGCAGGGUGAAAACAGAGUAAUACAGUUGGGUUUUUUUUACUGUGAAAUUUAUGAAUUGUAUAUGUACUUUGGAUAAAAGUCCGUUAUGAUCUAUUUGAUUUGCAAACAAUUUUCUCCCAGCCUGUGGUUUGUCUUAUCAUUCACUUAACAUUUUAUUUCACAAAGCAAAAAUUUUUAAAAAGUCCAAUUCUACCAAUUUCUAAUUUUAUGGAUUGUGCUUUUGGUGUAUCUAAAAUUCCAUUACCAAAGCCAAGAUCACACAGAUUUUUUCCUGAUGUUUUUCAAAAAGUUUCUUACUUUUGCAUUUUAACUUUAGGCCCAUGAUCCAUUUUGAGUUAAUUUUUGAGUAAGAUGUAAGGUCUGUGUCUAUGCUCUCUCUCUCUCUCUUUUUUUUUGCAUAUGGAUGUUCAAUUUUUCCAUCAACAUUUAUUGAAAAGAGAAUUCUUUCUUCAUUGAAUUGCCUUUGUAUUUUUGUAAAAAAUCAGUUGAUUAUAUUAGUGUGGUUCUAUUUCUGAGCUCUGUAUUCCAUUUUAUUUAUCAGUGUACUUGAUUGUGAUAGCUCUAUACUUAUGCUUGAAAUCAGGUAAUGUGAGUCCUUCACUUUUUUUUUUUCCAGAGUUGGGCUGGCUGUUUUAAAUCCUCUGUUCUUCAAUAUAAAUUAUAGAAUAAAUUAGCUGAUAUCUACAAAAAAGAUUGCUGGGAUUUUGAUUAAGAUUGGAUUGAAUCUAUACAUCGAAUUACAAAUAACUGAUAUCUUUACAAUACUGAAUGUUCCAAUGCAUGCAUAUGAAAUUCAUUUAUUUAUUUUUUUUUACUUCUUUCUUCCCUGUUUUGAGGCUUUCUGUGUAUAGAUUCUGUAAAUAUUUUGUUAGAUUUAUACUUUUCUGAUGCUACUGUAAAUGUUUUUUGUUGUUGUAGUUUAAUUUCAAAGUCUAGUAGUUCGUUGAUGGCAAACAGAAAGGCAGUUUGCUUUUAUAUAUUGACCUUGUAUCCUGCAGUGUUGCAGGAUACAUGCCUAUUGGUGCCAGGAAGUUUUCUUUUCUUUUUUUUUUUUUUUUUUUUUGUAGAUUCUUAGGAAUUUUCUAUAUAGACAAUGAUGUCAUCUGUAAGUAUAGACAGUUUUAUUUCUUGCCUUCCAAUCUGUAUAAACUUUUUUUGAGACGGAGUUUCACUCUUGUCACCAGACUGGAGUGCAAUGGCGCAAUCUGGGCUCACUGAAACCUCCACCUCCUGGGUUCAAGUGACUCUCCUGCUUCAGCUUCCCGAGUAGCUGGGAUUACAGGUGUG
rnacentral:lncRNA from 10 species